rnacentral:lncRNA from 1 species
UUUGUUUUUAUUGUUUGAUUAGAUUUAUGACUAUGGCGGUAUAUUACUGUUGCUUUCAGUACGAUUAAAGAGUUUGUUCAUGAUGAAGGCUAUACUGUAAUAUUCAUUGUCUUUGGCUGGAUAGUAGAUCAUUUGGCAAUCAUGAAACCUUACCCAACUAUAAAAGUUAUUUCAUGUCUAGAGUUUAUCACUAUGGAAGGAGGAAAAUAAGAAAUAAAACUGUUAUGUUGAGAAACUUCAAAAUACCCCAACAAGGAGAGUCUCAGUCCACGGUAAAACAAAAAUUGAAAAAGGGCACUGUCUCUUGUCAAAUGAGGUAAAAAAUUAUAAGCAACAAAGCAACAAAUUCAACAAGCUAAAUGAAACACAAUAAUACAUCAAGACAA